rnacentral:rRNA from 1 species
GUGUGAAGAAAGGCCUUCGGGUGUAAAGCACUUUCAGUAGGGAGGAAGGUAGUGUAGUUAACACCUGCAUUAUUUGACGUUACCUACAGAAGAAGCACCGGCUAACUCCGUGCCAGCAGCCGCGGUAAUACGGAGGGUGCGAGCGGUUAAUCGGAAUUACUGGGCGUAAAGCGCAUGCAGGCGGCCUGUUAAGUCAGAUGUGAAAAGCCCGGGGCUUAACCUCGGAAUUGCAUUUGAAACUGGCAGGACUAGAGUCUUGUAGAGGGGGUAGAAUUUCAGGUGUAGCGGUGAAAUGCGUAGAGAUCUGAAGGAAUACCAGUGGCGAAGGCGGCCCCCUGGACAAAGACUGACGCUCAGAUGCGAAAGCGUGGGGAGCAAACAGGAUUAGAUACCCUGUAG